rnacentral:tRNA from 1 species
RGGGUGUAGCUCCAAUUGGCAGAGCAGCGGAUUCCAAAUCCGCGUGUUGGGAGUUCGAAUCUCUCCACCCCUGCCA